AUUGAACGCUGGCGGCAGGCCUAACACAUGCAAGUCGAGCGGAUGAAGGAAGCUUGCUCCUGGAUUCAGCGGCGGACGGGUGAGUAAUGCAUAGGAAUAUGCCUGGUAGUGGGGGAUAACGUCCGGAAACGGGCGCUAAUCCCGCAUACGUCCUGAGGGAGAAAGUGGGGGAUCUUCGGACAUCACGCUAUCAGAUGAGACUAGGUCGGAUUAGCUAGUUGGUGAGGUAAAGGCCUACCAAGGCGACGAUCCGUAACUGGUCUGAGAGGAUGAUCAGUCACACUGGAACUGAGACACGGUCCAGACUCCUACGGGAGGCAGCAGUGGGGAAUAUUCGACAAUGGGCGAAAGCCUGAUCCAGCCAUGCCGCGUGUGUGAUGAAGGUCUUCGGAUUGUAAAGCUCUUUAAGUAGGGAGGAAGGGCAGUAAGUUAAUACCUGGCUGUCUUGACGGUACCAACAGAAAAAGCACCGGCUAACUACGUG
rnacentral:rRNA from 1 species